AUUUAUCUUAUAUACAAUUGAGUAUACCGUAUCGAAUCGUGCCUUCACAAAUUAUAAGUUGUAAAAGAAUCUUAUUGACCUAUUAGAAUGCAAGGAGAAAAGAGACUAUAUGGCAGUUGGCCUCGAAGAAGUUGUGGAUCCUUCCAUCUCUAUAGAAUCCUAUAUAAAUCGUGGGCUGUGGCUUUCUAUGGAGGAACACGUGCCAGCCACAUGUUGCACAAAACGAAUCCUUCAGUGAUCCUUUCGAAUAUCCGAAGCGUAAAGUCGCAGUUACAAAGGAGUUUUAGAAGCCCAUAAAUGAUUCUCUUUCGGACGAAGGAUAUGAAACAUCGACAGAUGUUUUCCGACUGAAUCUCUUGAAAGAUGUUAAAUUUCCUAUAUACGGACGUUUCAAAAGGAAUAUGCAUAUAUAAUCUAACAAGUUACGAUCAAGGAACGGGACGAUUCUCGAGAACACGUGGUUGUGACCAUCUGUUGGCAUACUGCUUCGACCAUCUUAUCCUUAGAAACCUCACAAGUUCUCCUGCAUUCACAACAUUAACACACAAGCAUCAAUCUUGAAUGAAACUUUAUUUUAUUUAUAAAAUAUAUUUAUGAAACGCAAGGAAAUAAAAUAUCGAUUAAACGAGAAUACAAAAUAAAAAAAAUAGAACAGAUAUAAUAGGAAAAUGAGACAAAAGAAACCCUUUAGAAAUUUAUUAUUAAGAAAUUCAACUUUCUAUUAUCUUUAUCGUGAAAUUACUACAAAGAAGACGAGGUGUAAACUUUCCCAGCAACGCGUUUAAAUAUUUAUCUUAAAGAACGACUUAUGCUCUUAAUAAUGAGCAACGAAUUUUUAAGAGGAUACGAUAGAACGGAUAUGUUUUCAAGAAGAAGUAACCGGCACGAUUUCAAAGUUGUAAAAGCUGGAGGAUCCGUUUGAGCGGACCGCUUUGUGUCCCGCGAUAAAAAGUGUUUCAAGCAGGUAAAACAUUCCUACUGAAACGAUUCUACCUGAUCCACCUGGCUUUCACACUACAUUUUCGACCACAGUUUCUUUCUAUAAGAUUGAGAUUCUUGGAAGAACAAUACAUUCGAAAGCUAACAGCGUACAUAUUUGAUUGAUCGACGAAUUAUCUUCGAAAGAAAAUCCGACGAGGAUCCUAAGUUGACUGAGAGUAUUGAAGAAAGUCGUCAAAAUUGCAGCUUAAGAAUCUAAUAUCGACGGCUUUCGAGAAGAGGCUUGGAUAUUACAUAUUGCUAUAAAGUGCUCUUUCUAAAAUAUCUUCUUCCGACAAGUGAUACUUUUCUUCGAUUUUUUUUUGAAAGAAAGAGAGAGAGAUUUAAAAUUCAAAAAUAAUAGUUUUGCAUGGAAUCGCAUAAGAAAUCAAUUCUUCCAGAUUAGAAACGAAACGUGACUAUCAUAGAUACAUAUUGUAUCAUAGAUAAUUUUGAAGGACAGGAAAUGGACAAUGAGAGUGUUUCUUCGCUGGACAUCCGGUUCACCACGCGCACUGCGUGUGUCUUAUUUGACGUCACAACACACCUGCUUCCUUACAGCUGUUCUCCAAUCCGUGGUGGGAAGUAUCGCAGUGGGAGCUGCGACCACCCCUCGACAAAACGUAAGGAUAUGUGUUUUACAAACGCCAGACACACACACCAUCGAGUGACCCAGUCGCAACAGAUGCAAGAAUAUGUGUUAUUUCUUUCCUCAUCUCUCCCUUGGCCAUGUCUUUUUCCCUCUCCGAUUCUUUUUUCCCAUCGGGGUGUAUGCAUUCCCUGGAGAUAUUUCUGGAAGGGAUGACGAACCCGAUCGGUUAACUAGAGUAUUGUUCGAUUAUUAUUUCGGUACAUAUCGUGCACUUGUUAUCUCUUUGUGCGGUCAUAUGGUGGUCCAAGGGUGAUCGUGCCAUCGAUGACGGAUCUGUCGUUGCAUCGAACUGUUAGUGAUAUCUAUAGUCACCCAUACAAUUCCAUAUUAUGCAUUUAAGAAAAAUAUAAUUUAAUAUAUUUAAC